rnacentral:rRNA from 1 species
GUUUGAUCAUGGCUCAGAUUGAACGCUGGCGGCAGGCCUAACACAUGCAAGUCGAACGCAUCCUUCGGGGUGAGUGGCGGACGGGUGAGUAACAUGUGGGAACGUACCCUUUGCUACGGAAUAGUCUCAGGAAACUGGGGGUAAUACCGUAUGUGCCCUACGGGGGAAAGAUUUAUCGGCAAAGGAUCGGUCCGCGUUGGAUUAGGUAGUUGGUGGGGUAAUGGCCUACCAAGCCGACGAUCCAUAGCUGGUUUGAGAGGAUGACCAGCCACACUGGGACUAAGACACGGCCCAGACUCCUACGGGAGGCAGCAGUGGGGAGUAUUAGACAAUGGGGGAAACCCUGAUCUAGCCAUGCCGCGUGAGUGGUGAAGGCCUUAGGGUUGUAAAGCUCUUUCGCUGGUGAAGAUAAUGACGGUACCCAGUAAAGAAGCCCCGGCUAACUCCGUGCCAGCAGCCGCGGUAAUACGGAGGGGGCUAGCGUUAUUCGGAAUUACUGGGCGUAAAGCGCACGUAGGCGGACCAGAAAGUUAGGGGUGAAAUCCCGGGGCUCAACCCCGGAACUGCCUCUAAAACUCCUGGUCUUGAGUUCGAGAGAGGUGAGUGGAAUUCGGAGUGUAGAGGUGAAAUUCGUAGAUAUUCGGAGGAACACCAGUGGCGAAGGCGGCUCACUGGCUCGAUACUGACGCUGAGGUGCGAAAGCGUGGGGAGCAAACAGAAUUAGAUACCCUGGUACUCCACGCCAUAAACGAUGAAUGCCAGUCGUCGUCAAGCAUGCUUGUCGAUGACACACCUAACGGAUUAAGCAUUCCGCCUGGGGAGUACGGUCGCAAGAUUAAAACUCAAAGGAAUUGACGGGGGCCCGCACAAGCGGUGGAGCAUGUGGUUUAAUUCGAAGCAACGCGCAGAACCUUACCAACCCUUGACAUGGAGGGGACCGUUCCAGAGAUGGUUCUUUCACUUCGGUGACCCCUCACACAGGUGCUGCAUGGCUGUCGUCAGCUCGUGUCGUGAGAUGUUCGGUUAAGUCCGGCAACGAGCGCAACCCACACUUUCAGUUGCCAGCAUUCAGUUGGGCACUCUGAAAGAACUGCCGGUGAUAAGCCGGAGGAAGGUGUGGAUGACGUCAAGUCCUCAUGGCCCUUACGGAUUGGGCUACACACGUGCUACAAUGGCAGUGACAAUGGGCUAAUCCCAAAAAGCUGUCUCAGUUCGGAUUGGGGUCUGCAACUCGACCCCAUGAAGUCGGAAUCGCUAGUAAUCGCGUAACAGCAUGACGCGGUGAAUACGUUCCCGGGCCUUGUACACACCGCCCGUCACACCAUGGGAAUUGGGUUUACCCGACGGCCGUGCGCUAACUCUUCGGAGAGGCAGCGGACCACGGUAGGCUCAGUGACUGGGGUGAAGUCGUAAC